UUUAAAACGUCUUCUUCGUCCUCCGUCACUGUAUAAAAAAAGAAAAUUACAACCUCUUUCUUCUAGAGACAAAAAAAGACCCCAUAUGCCAUAUGGAUUAAGUUCAUGAUUCCGAAAAAAAGUAAAAGAGAAUCAAUCAAUCAUUACAAUCAAUCUCCUUUUAGCAAACCAAAAAAACGUCAGACCAAAACUCAUUGAUUUGCGUGCUCUGUUUAUUCUUUCUUUUUCGUUUAUUGGAUUAAGAAUGCGGAUACUGACGAGGCACACUUUCUUAUCUUUGCUAUAAAUAAUCAGAGAAUUUGCCUUCAUUCGUCCAAAUAACACAAACUCAUCUUUUCUGUUUUUCAAUGGAGAAAUCUGGGUAUGGAAGAGACGGUGUUUUCAGGUCUCUUAGACCACCUCUUGUCCUCCCCAAAGACCACAAUCUUUCGAUGGUUUCAUUCGUCUUCAGAAACUCAUCUUCCUACCCUCAAAAGCCGGCCCUCAUCGACUCUGAUACCAAUGAAACACUCUCGUUCUCCCAGUUCAAAUCUAUGGUUAUCAAGGUCUCCCAUGGUUUUCUCAAUCUGGGUGUACAGAAAAACGAUGUCGUUCUCAUCUUCGCCCCUAAUUCUAUCCACGUCCCUGUUUGCUUCCUGGGAAUUGUAGCCUCUGGGGCCAUUGCCACUACCUCAAAUCCUCUCUACACCGUUUCCGAGCUUUCGAAACAAGUCAAGGAUUCAAAUCCCAAACUCAUUGUCACCGUUCCUGAACUGUUCGAAAAAGUAAAGGGGUUCAAUCUCCCCACGAUUCUAAUUGGUCCUAAUUCUGAAGACUCUUCGCCUUUAAAGUCGAGGGCGAAAGUAUUAACAUUUCACGAUUUGGUCACCUUAUCCGGGCCUGUGUCAGAUUUUCCAAUGGUUGACUUUAAGCAGAGUGACACGGCUGCGCUUUUGUACUCAUCUGGCACAACGGGAAUGAGUAAAGGCGUAGUUUUGUCUCACAAGAACUUCAUUGCGUCUUCUUUAAUGGUGACGAUGGAGCAAGACCAAGCGGGAGAGAUGCAUAAUGUGUUCCUCUGCUUUUUGCCAAUGUUUCAUGUCUUUGGCUUGGCCAUCAUCACGUACGCUCAGUUGCAGAGGGGAAACACCGUCAUUUCGAUGGCGAGAUUCGACCUCGAGAAGAUAUUGAAAGACGUGGAGAAGUAUAAAGUAACCCAUUUGUGGGUUGUGCCUCCUGUGAUACUUGCUCUGACCAAGAACAGUAUCGUGAAGAAGUAUGACCUUUCUUCCUUAAAGCAUAUUGGUUCUGGUGCUGCUCCUUUGGGCAAAGAUUUAAUGGAGGAGUGCGCUAAGAUUGUUCCUCAUGGUAUUGUUGCUCAGGGAUAUGGUAUGACAGAAACCUGUGGCAUUGUAUCUGUGGAGGACACAAGAGGAGGUAAACGACACACUGGUUCAGCUGGAAUGCUUUCAUCUGGAGUAGAAGCCCAGAUAGUCAGUGUAGAUACGUUGAAGCCUUUACCUCCUAACCAGUUGGGGGAGAUAUGGGUGAGGGGGCCUAACAUGAUGCAAGGUUAUUUCAAUAACCCACGGGCGACUAAGUUGACUAUAGAUAAGAAAGGUUGGGUACAUACUGGUGAUCUUGGAUAUUUUGAUGAAGACGGACAUCUUUAUGUUGUUGACCGUAUAAAAGAGCUCAUCAAGUAUAAAGGAUUUCAGGUUGCUCCUGCUGAGCUUGAAGGAUUGCUUGUUUCUCAUCCUGAAAUACUGGAUGCCGUUGUGAUCCCAUUUCCUGAUGCUGACGCGGGUGAAGUCCCAGUUGCUUAUGUUGUUCGCUCUCCCAACAGUUCAUUGACGGAAGAUGAUGUGAAGAAAUUUAUCGCUGGCCAGGUUGCAUCUUUCAAAAGAUUGCGAAAAGUGACAUUCAUAAACAGUGUCCCAAAAUCUGCUUCAGGAAAAAUCCUCAGAAGAGAGCUCAUUCAGAAAGUUCGCUCCAACAUAUGAUAGUUCUCUUAGAAAAUUUCUCGGAAAGUAGGAGCAAGCAGCUGCCGACCCCCUUGUGCACUGAAAAGAUCUCGACGUCAUGGAAGCAAAGGUUUUCUCAAUCUGCCAAAGUCACGCCGACAUUGCCGGAGAAGAAGAAGCGUUGCCAAGGAGCAUCGUCAUCUAGCUUAUUUUCUUCGUCGGGAGCCACAGAUUCGUGUUCCUUGGAGGUCUCGGGCUUACCUUGCCGCCUAGUUUCCAUUAGUAGUCAUAGAUGUUGCUUUAUAAAACUUCCUCAAAUUUCUUUGUGUUCCAAUGAAUGGCCCCAAGUGCAAACUGGAUUUCUCGUUCGCCUAACAUAGAGUAUUAUGAACAAGUAAAGGUAAGGGCAAGCUUGAUCAGUCCUGACUCGGAGAGCUCUGUGAGCAGAAUGUACAUGAUCAGCUGCUCAGUUAUCACGCUUGAGAGGAUAACAGGAACAUAAGAGCUCUAAAUGUCUGUUUUGCCUUAGAGUGACUGACGGUAGUCUGUAUUGUGGAAAUUUGUAAACCAACUUUUAAACACUAUUUUUUUUGGGAUCCCAAAUGUAAAUUUGUUUGAAGAUAUGAAAUGUAUCUUUUGAGACCAAAACCAUUUUAACCCUAGCACAUUUAUUGUUUA